GGGACGUCGCAGCGCCAGGGUCUGCCUUAAGCUACCAAGACAGAAGUUGUUUCUGCGAUUAACUCUUGUCAGUGGGGAAUCCAUCCAGCGACCUCCUCCCACUGAGGGUAAUCAAGAAGCUGAGGGAUGAAGA